rnacentral:rRNA from 1 species
UGGGGAAUAUUGCACAAUGGGCGCAAGCCUGAUGCAGCCAUGCCGCGUGUGUGAAGAAGGCCUUCGGGUUGUAAAGCACUUUCAGCGAGGAGGAAGGUGGUGGACUUAAUACGUUCAUCAAUUGACGUUACUCGCAGAAGAAGCACCGGCUAACUCCGUGCCAGCAGCCGCGGUAAUACGGAGGGUGCAAGCGUUAAUCGGAAUUACUGGGCGUAAAGCGCACGCAGGCGGUUUGUUAAGUCAGAUGUGAAAUCCCCGGGCUCAACCUGGGAACUGCAUUUGAAACUGGCAAGCUAGAGUCUCGUAGAGGGGGGUAGAAUUCCAGGUGUAGCGGUGAAAUGCGUAGAGAUCUGGAGGAAUACCGGUGGCGAAGGCGGCCCCCUGGACGAAGACUGACGCUCAGGUGCGAAAGCGUGGGGCAGCAAACAGGAUUAGAUACCCUGGUAGUCCACGCUGUAAACGAUGUCGAUUUUGGAGGUUGUGCCCCUUGAGGCGUGGCUUCCGGAGCCUAACGCGUUAAAUCGACCGCCUGGGGAGUACGG